rnacentral:rRNA from 1 species
AAGGAUCAUUAACGUAUUUUGAAUCAAGGGGGAAUGCGGUCCGUCCGAUGAAGGGCGCCUCACCCCUCGGGGAGAAGCNAGUGUUGGCCUGCAAAGGCGCGGCCCUCCCGCUGGGGGCAGUAGUUUGGGCAUUGAGCAAACAUGCUUCAAAAUUGGCUUUGUGAACGUGCCGCCUCCGGCCUUCUGGGAGGAUAGUGGGGGUUCCGCGGACAAGAUGCCUCGGCCUUCUGGGGGACGUAAGUUGGGUCUGCAAAACGGACCGCCUCACCUCCAGGGGGACGUUUGGGUGGAGCAUGCGAGCGGAGCCCCUUGAUCCCAGGGGCACGUUAGUUGGGUACGCGAGCCGAAGUGCCUCGUCCCCAGGGGAGUGCACAAACAGAUUUGUUGUUUAUGCGUCCAUUGUAAGGUCGGCCUCGCGGCUCUGCGAGGGGGAAGUAGUUUGGCCCUCAAGGGUGGCCUCGGCCCCUGCAUUCUAAUCCACUUUAACACCUGUGCACCUUUAGGCGAGUGCCCUCCAUUUGGAGCCGUCUGACGUUCCGGCGUCGGACCGGGGCGCUCUCCGCCCCAAACACACCACUGCCUGUCUUGUAACGCAUGUAAACCGCCCCAAGGGGGUGAUAAAAGUUAAUACAACUUUCAACAACGGAUCUCUUGGCUUUCGCAUCGAUGAAGAACGCCGCGAAAGUGCGAAACGUAAUGUGAAUUGCAGAAUUCAGUGAAUCAUCGAAUCUUUGAACGCACCUUGCGCUCCUUGGUAUUCCGAGGAGCAUGCCUGUUUGAGUGUCGUGAAACCCUCUCGGACCCGCCCCUUUUGCCGGGGUGGGUUUGGAUUUGGACGCCUGCGGGUCGCCGCUCGUCUUUAAAUGCAUUAGCUGGUCCCUUUGUGGUCGGUCCGAACGACGGUGUGAUAACAAAAUGCUUAGUGCGCCGUUCGUUGCCUGGCCUGGGUCGCUUAGAGCCGUCCUCCUCGGACAACUUUCAUGUCGUUCUGACCUCAAAUCACCC